rnacentral:rRNA from 1 species
UGAUGCAGCCAUGCCGCGUGUGUGAAGAAGGCCUUCGGGUUGUAAAGCACUUUCAGUAGGGAGGAAGGUAGUGUAGUUAACACCUGCAUUAUUUGACGUUACCUACAGAAGAAGCACCGGCUAACUCCGUGCCAGCAGCCGCGGUAAUACGGAGGGUGCGAGCGUUAAUCGGAAUUACUGGGCGUAAAGCGCAUGCAGGCGGCCUGUUAAGUCAGAUGUGAAAGCCCCGGGGCUUAACCUCGGAAUUGCAUUUAGAAACUGGCAGGCUAGAGUCUUGUAGAGGGGGUAGAAUUUCAGGUGUAGCGGUGAAAUGCGUAGAGAUCUGAAGGAAUACCAGUGGCGAAGGCGGCCCCCUGGACAAAGACUGACGCUCAGAUGCGAAAGCGUGGGGAGCAAACAGGAUUAGAUACCCUGGUAG